UGGCGAUUUAGAACACUUUUGUUUUUAGCAUUUAUAGUAUUAUUAAGCGAAAAUGCAAGCGCUAAAACUGUAAAGCUCUACAACUGCUCAUCAUCUGACGUGUACUGCGAUGAAGUGACAGCAACUCGCACGGUGAUCCACUAUCAUGACAGGAAGACAACCCUUGUGAAACAAACAAAUAAUACGUUUUUCUCCGAAAAUGGCACCAUCACUUUAAAAAAUAAAAUAGAAAUAUAUGUGUAA